UAAAACUCACGAGAAUCACUGCCCAUAUUCACGAUGAUUAACUGUAUUUUGUACAGUACAGCCAGCUGUAUGUUAGGUAACCAAAAUUUAAUACCUACAUAAAUAUCGAUUUACCAUUAACUACCAUUAUAAUGUUGUGUAUAGUUGUCCCUAAUAACAUCAUCAGACUGAUGCAGGUCACAAAAAGCAUCACUAUGGUAUGUAACUAUAUAGACGAAAAGUAUCAUUUUGAUUAAUCUUAAACGGGAUAUUAACUAUUAUAAAAGACAAAAGUAUUUACAAAGAUAAAUAAAACUAAUUUUUUUCUUUAAUGGUUUUGGUCGUUAAACGAUAAUAUUAUGUAAAACAAGAUCAGUUUUAUUUUAUUAUAAAUAUUAUAGUAUAAGAUUAUAAUAUAUUCAUCAAAAAAUGAUAUUAUUCGUGGGACCGGAGAUAUAACGGUGCUGGUUUUAUGAGUGAUACUCUGCAAAUCCGGAAAUUUAGAUCAAUAAUUUAAGAAUUCUACGGUAGUUUAAUUUUAAACUCAGCAAAUCAUUUCUCGCCCGCCCCUGAAUCUUAGAUAUAAUCCAAAAGCGACCGCUUUUCAAAGACCGCGUUCGUUUCACCACUGG